GACGAACGCUGGCGGCGUGCUUAACACAUGCAAGUCGAGCGGUAAGGCCCUUCGGGUACACGAGCGGCGAACGGGUGAGUAACACGUGGGUGACCUGCCUCUAGCUCUGGGAUAAGCCUGGGAAACUGGGUCUAAUACCGGAUAUGACUCCACGGCGCAUGUUGUGGGGUGGAAAGCCUUGUGUGGCUAGAGAUGGGCCCGCGGCCUAUCAGCUUGUUGGUGGGGUGAUGGCCUACCAAGGCGACGACGGUAGCCGGCCUGAGAGGGCGACCGGCCACACUGGGACUGAGACACGGCCCAGACUCCUACGGGAGGCAGCAGUGGGGAAUCUUGCGCAAUGGGCGAAAGCCUGACGCAGCGACGCCGCGUGAGGGAUGACGGCCU
rnacentral:rRNA from 1 species